GGGCCCGCACAAGCGGAGGAACAUGUGGUUUAAUUCGAUGAUACGCGAGGAACCUUACCCGGGCUCGAACGGCACAGGAAUAUGUAUGAAAGUAUAUAGCUAGCAAUAGUCUGUGUCGAGGUGCUGCAUGGUUGUCGUCAGCUCGUGCCGUGAGGUGUCGGCUUAAGUGCCAUAACGAGCGCAACCCUUAUCGUUAGUUACCAUCAGGUUAAGCUGGGGACUCUAGCGAGACUGCCACCGUAAGGUGUGAGGAAGGUGGGGAUGACGUCAAAUCAGCACGGCCCUUACGUCCGGGGCGACACACGUGUUACAAUGGGGGGGACAAAGGGAUGCUACUUAGCAAUAAGAUGCGAAUCUUCAAACCCUCUCCCAGUUCGGAUCGGAGUCUGCAACUCGACUCCGUGAAGCUGGAUUCGCUAGUAAUCGCGCAAUCAGCCAUGGCG
rnacentral:rRNA from 1 species